rnacentral:rRNA from 1 species
AUGGAGAACCUACUACAACAGCUUAAUGAAUGGGAGAUCCGCUUGCUAGUGCUCCUCAGCUUCAUACUACAGAUGUUACUCUUCUUUACUGGUGGCCUUCGGCUGCGUAGCAGAAAUACACCGCUUAGGUUUUGCAUGUGGAUAGCAUACUUGGGAGCAGAUUUAGUAGCAGUUUAUGCCCUUGGCCUCCUCUCUCGGCACAAAGAUGCCCACAUUGGAAAGGAAAUAUUCUGGGCAGCCCAUCCACUUGCUUUUCUUUGGGCCCCUUUCCUACUGAUGCAUCUUGGUGGGCAGGACACUAUAACUGCAUUUGCCAUCGAGGACAACAACUUGUGGUUAAGGCAUUUGUUGAAUUUGGUAGUUCAAGUUGGCCUUGCUUUAUAUGUCUUUUGGGAGUCUGUAGGUCACAGCAAUGUGGUAAUUCUAGUUCCAGGCAUCUUUGUUUUUACUUCUGGAAUUAUCAAGUAUGGCGAGAGGACACUGGCUCUUAUGUAUGGGAACCUAAAAGGCAUCAACAGCUCCAGUGAAAUUGACUUGAAUUUGCAUGAAGGAUAUUUCGGAAUAAUUUCUUCAGCAUUGAAAUCAACACCAGGCAUCCGAGUGCUCUUCGAGGGCCGCACCUUGUCCCAGAUGGAAGAAAGACACCGAGAGGCACUGAGAUCCAAGAUUGAUCAGAAACAUUUGCCCAAGUUACUAGAGAUUGAACUUAACUUGAUGUAUGAUGACAUCUACACUAAGGCUAUGGUGCUUCGGUCAAGGAGUGGCAUAAUGCUCCGGUGUGUAUCUCAAGUAUCAAUGGUGGUUGCUUUUGUGCUCUUCACUGUGAACAAGAAACAUAGAUAUAGUACAGCAGAUGUUGCAAUCACAUAUAUGUUAUUUACAGGAGGCCUUUGCCUUGAAGCUUGUGCAAUAUUUAUCUUAUUGAUGUCGCCAAGGACUUGGGCUUGGUUGGAGGCUCGGGGCUACCACAGACUCAGUCGCAUCUCCUCUUUUCUCCUAUAUAGCAAGAUUGGACGCCCUGAGGGAAGGCCACUAUGGUCAAAUUGCAUGGGGCAGUACAACUUCCUGAGCUAUGUGGAUUGUGAUGUACCAAUGAAGUCCAAGUUGGUGAAGAAAGUGGCAAGGAUGAUGGUGAGCAUAGCCGGUGUUGGUGAUGGGAAGUCAUUCCUGUGGUUGAGCAAGUUACUCGAUAGCAAGCACAUCGAGGUUGAUAAGGAGAUAAUGGAUUCUAUUGUAGUUAUGGUGGAUUGUUCAGAUGGAUCAAGAGCCUUGAACCCCGAAGACUGGCCAAAUCUUGGUUCAUUAAUAGAGAAAUUAGUUCCGGACUUUGGUGCGAGCUUCGGUUAUGGCAUUGUCUGCUUCCAUAUAUUCACAGAGACACACCUAAGAAAAUAUUAUCACCCCCAGGAUUUUCUGUUAGUCGGUGUUUGCCGAAAGUUGUCAAACUACAUGCUCUACCUUCUAGUCACACAUCCAGAAAUGUUGCCGGUCAGUGGCACCACGGAACCUACCAUGAUAUUCUUCCUCGACAAAAUUACUAGUGCUGUCAGUCCCAGUUACACAGCUGAUAGAAUUCUUAGUAGCGCCAGCUCUCUGCUGCAAGAUGGUUUGGGGUUACAUCAGCCUGAGCAGCGCCAAGAAACAUUACGCGAGAUUAGAGACCUGUGGACCAGGCUACUUCUCUUCGCUGCUGGCAAGUCUCGGGCGGACAUGCAUGCUGCGCAGCUGAGCAGAGGAGGUGAACUCCUCACCUUUGCUUGGUUGCUCAUGGCCCACAAAGGAGGUGAACUCCUCACCUUUGCUUGGUUGUUACAUCUAGCUCGUCGGAUGUCACGAGCAGCGGCUAUAACAGUUUUGAAGGCCGAACAUGUUCCGUCAGAGUUGAAAAAAACCGCGGCGAGUGUGGGAAGUUGA